rnacentral:rRNA from 1 species
UACGGAAGGGGCAAGCGUUGUUCGGAAUCAUUGGGCGUAAAGGGCGCGUAGGUGGUUCUGUAUGUCUACCGUGAAAGCGUACGGCUCAACCGUAUUUUGUCGGUGGAAACUGCAGGACUUGAGGCUGGGAGGGGCUGGUGGAAUUCCCUGUGUAGCGGUGAAAUGCGUAGAGAUGGGGGAGAACACUCGUGGCGAAGGCGGCAUCCUGGACCAACACUGACGCUGAGUGAGCGAAAGCCAGGGGAGCAAACGGG